GUGUCAGACCUACUUCACACACUUUCUGCACAUGACAGUACAUUCACUGUGCAGGUUCUAUCAGUGGAACAUUUGUAAAUCUAUUGGAUAAAUGGACAGAAACCAACAUAUAGUGGAAGAACACACCAUCAUAUAUAUUAAAACAUGAGCUAACCAGCACUUUGG